CACGUAGGGCGCAAGCGUUGUCCGGAAUUAUUGGGCGUAAAGAGCUCGUAGGCGGUCUGUUGCGUCCGCUGUGAAAACUCGGGGGCUUAACCCCCGAGCCUGCAGUGGAUACGGGCAGACUAGAGGUAGGUAGGGGGAGAAUGGAAUUCCCGGUGUAGCGGUGAAAAUGCGUAGAUAUCGGGGAGGAACACCAGUGGCGAAGGCGACUUCCUGGCCUGUUCUUUGACGCUGAGGCGCGAAAAGCUAGGGGGAGCAAACGGGG
rnacentral:rRNA from 1 species